UACGUAGGGUGCAAGCGUUAAUCGGAAUUACUGGGCGUAAAGCGUGCGCAGGCGGUUUUGUAAGUCUGUCGUGAAAUCCCCGGGCUUAACCUGGGAAUUGCGAUGGAGACUGCAAGGCUUGAAUCUGGCAGAGGGGGGUAGAAUUCCACGUGUAGCAGUGAAAUGCGUAGAGAUGUGGAGGAACACCGAUGGCGAAGGCAGCCCCCUGGGUCAAGACUGACGCUCAUGCACGAAAGCGUGGGGAGCAAACAGG
rnacentral:rRNA from 1 species